GGAUGGUCUUUUUGGGAGGCAGACAGAAUUCUGCACAUAGAAUCAGCUCAUCCUAAUGUAGAGGAUGCUAAGCUGUUAGAGGAUGCUAAGCUGUUUGGCUCUGAUUAUUCCGAAGAUUCCACUUUUUUUUUUUUUUUUAAAUCUGUUAGCGUGACUGCUUGUCACAUUGUAAUAUUGUGUUCCUUGCCUUAGGACAG
rnacentral:lncRNA from 1 species